GAACCUGGGGUGGCAUUUGAACCUGGGACACUGCAGAAAGAGCAAUAGCAUCAAUCAAUGUGUCCAAACACUCCACCCUGCUGUUGUUGUUGUCGUCAUUAUUUUUAAUGGUAGUAGAAAAAGAAUUACUGAUGCUGUUGUAUUUGCAUUUUUUUGAUUAAGCUAACUUGCAAAAUAUCUAAUUCGAAUUUUAGGGUGAAAAGUAGCCAGAGCCAAACUCCUGUGCAUGCAAGAAUCUGACCAGGAUGGCAUUUCACGACAUUACAGGUUUAUAAAGAGUUGCAGCCUAUCCUGACAGCUGUAGUCACAAAGCAGGAAUCAACCCAGCAGGGUAACCAGCAUAAACCUCAGCCAGAUGUGUGUCCACGAGUCAGACUCCUAUCUUCAGGAAGUGGUGGAGACUACAG